rnacentral:SRP_RNA from 1 species
CGGUGGACUAGCCCGGAUGGUUCGGCGUCAUCUGCAACCCGAAAUCGCCGAUAUGCGGGGGGCGAAGCCUGAGGAAGUUUUUUUCGUUGCCGGGAGGCUAUGGAGGGUUUUCGUAGAAACCUUGUCCUGUGGGGUCGCCGGUGAUACGUGGCAUGCCGGAGGGUCUGUCUCGUAUCUUUGUUGUGCACACCGGUUUAGGCCCGGAAGGGAGCAGACUCACCACAAACGCACGACGCUCAUGGGGUGGCAGGGCGGAGGGGAUCUUUCAAAAGUGCUCGGUAUACGAAAUUCCAACCGAGGGUGCGUCCACCU